GAUGAACGCUGGCGGCGUGCCUAAUACAUGCAAGUCGAGCGGUAAGGCCACUUCGGUGGUACACGAGCGGCGGACGGCUGAGUAACACGUAGGAACGUACCCCAAACUGAGGGAUAAGCACCAGAAAUGGUGUCUAAUACCGCAUGUGCUCUUCGGAGUAAAGCUACGGCGGUUUGGGAACGGCCUGCGCAUGAUUAGCUUGUUGGUGAGGUAAUGGCUCACCAAGGCGACGAUCAUUAGCUGGUCUGAGAGGAUGAUCAGCCAGACUGGGACUGAGAACGGCCCAGACUCCUACGGGAGGCAGCAGUAGGGAAUUUUCCACAAUGGACGAAAGUCUGAUGGAGCAACGCCGCGUGCAGGAUGAAGGCUUUCGGGUCGUAAACUGCUUUAUCUGUGAAGAUUAUGACGGUAGCAGAUGAAUAAGGAUCGGCUAACUCCGUGCCAGCAGCCGCGGU
rnacentral:rRNA from 1 species